GAUGAACGCUGGCGGCGUGCCUAAUACAUGCAAGUCGAGCGAACGGACGAGAAGCUUGCUUCUCUGAUGUUAGCGGCGGACGGGUGAGUAACACGUGGAUAACCUACCUAUAAGACUGGGAUAACUUCGGGAAACCGGAGCUAAUACCGGAUGAUAUUUUGAACCGCAUGGUUCAAAAGUGGAAGACGGUCUUGCUGUCACUUAUAGAUGGAUCCGCGCUGCAUUAGCUAGUUGGUAAGGUAACGGCUUACCAAGGCAACGAUGCAUAGCCGACCUGAGAGGGUGAUCGGCCACACUGGAACUGAGACACGGUCCAGACUCCUACGGGAGGCAGCAGUAGGGAAUCUUCCGCAAUGGGCGAAAGCCUGACGGAGCAACGCCGCGUGAGUGAUGAAGGUCUUCGGAUCGUAAAACUCUGUUAUUAGGGAAGAACAUAUGUGUAAGUAACUGUGCACAUCUUGACGGUACCUAAUCAGAAAGCCACGGCUAACUACGUG
rnacentral:rRNA from 1 species